rnacentral:rRNA from 1 species
AGUGAACGCUGGCGGUAGGCCUAACACAUGCAAGUCGAACGGCAGCACAGUAAGAGCUUGCUCUUACGGGUGGCGAGUGGCGGACGGGUGAGGAAUACAUCGGAAUCUACUUUUUCGUGGGGGAUAACGUAGGGAAACUUACGCUAAUACCGCAUACGACCUACGGGUGAAAGCAGGAGAUCUUCGGACCUUGCGCGAUUGAAUGAGCCGAUGUCGGAUUAGCUAGUUGGCGGGAUAAAGGCCCACCAAGGCGACGAUCCGUAGCUGGUCUGAGAGGAUGAUCAGCCACACUGGAACUGAGACACGGUCCAGACUCCUACGGGAGGCAGCAGUGGGGAAUAUUGGACAAUGGGCGCAAGCCUGAUCCAGCCAUACCGCGUGGGUGAAGAAGGCCUUCGGGUUGUAAAGCCCUUUUGUUGGGAAAGAAAAGCAGCAGGUUAAUACCCCGCUGUUCUGACGGUACCCAAAGAAUAAGCACCGGCUAACUUCGUG